rnacentral:rRNA from 1 species
CGGGAUAACCGCGGGAAACUGCGGCUAAUACCGAAUGCCCUCGAGAGAGGAAAGAUUUAUCGCCAGAAGAGGAGCCCGCGUCCGAUUAGGUAGUUGUCGGGGUAAAGGCCUACCAAGCCGACGAUCGGUAGCUGGUCUGAGAGGAUGAUCAGCCACACUGGGACUGAGAUACGGCCCAGACUCCUACGGGAGGCAGCAGUGGGGAAUAUUUGGACAAUGGGGGCAACCCUGAUCCAGCAAUGCCGCGUGAGUGAUGAAGGCCUUAGGGUUGUAAAGCUCUUUUGCCAGGGAAGAUGAUGACUGUACCUGGAGAAUAAGCCCCGGCUAACUUCGUG